rnacentral:rRNA from 1 species
UGGGGAAUAUUGCACAAUGGAGGGAACUCUGAUGCAGCGACGCCGCGUGAGUGAUGAAGGAAUUCGUUUCGUAAAACUCUGUUCUAUGGGAAGAAAAGGACUGUACCAUAGGAGAAAGCUCCGGCUAAAUACGUGCCAGCAGCCGCGGUAAUACGUAUGGAGCGAGCGUUGUCCGGAAUUAUUGGGCGUAAAGGGUGCGCAGGCGGCUUUACUAGUUGGAUGUGAAAUAUUGUGGCUCAACCACAAACGUGCAUCCAAAACUGCAAAGCUUGAGUUAAGGAGAGGUAAGUGGAAUUCCUGGUGUAGCGGUGGAAUGCGUAGAUAUCAGGAGGAAUACCGGUGGCGAAGGCGACUUACUGGACUUAAACUGACGCUCAGGCACGAAAGCGUGGGGAGCAAACAGG